rnacentral:rRNA from 1 species
UACGAGGGGGGCGAGCGUUGUUCGGAAUUAUUGGGCGUAAAGGGUGCGUAGGCGGCCUGACAAGUCUGAUGUGAAAUCCCUGGGCUCAACCCAGGGCCUGCAUCGGAAACUGUCGGGCUUGAGUAUGGGAGAGGUGAGUGGAAUUUCCGGUGUAGCGGUGAAAUGCGUAGAUAUCGGAAGGAACACCUGUGGCGAAAGCGGCUCACUGGACCAUUACUGACGCUGAGGCACGAAAGCUAGGGAGCA